rnacentral:tRNA from 1 species
GCGCCGGUGGUGUAAGGCGAACAUUGCUGCCCGGAAAGCAGAAGAUGCGGGUUUGACUCCCGCCUGGCGAA